GCAUCAGUGAGGUAGCGGUAAGCUGGGUCGUUGCCAUGAACGGCAUAACGAGAAAGGCGACUUUAUCGACCCGCCGAGGGUUCGAUUCCCUCUUGAUGCA